rnacentral:rRNA from 1 species
GACGAACGCUGGCGGCGUGCUUAACACAUGCAAGUCGAACGGAAAGGCCCUGCUUUUGUGGGGUUCUCGAGUGGCGAACGGGUGAGUAACACGUGAGUAACCUGCCCUUGACUUUGGGAUAACUUCAGGAAACUGGGGCUAAUACCGGAUAUGAGCUCCUGCUGCUUGGUGGGGGUUGGAAAGUUUCGGCGGUUGGGGAUGGACUCGCGGCUUAUCAGCUUGUUGGUGGGGUAGUGGCUUACCAAGGCUUUGACGGGUAGCCGGCCUGAGAGGGUGACCGGCCACAUUGGGACUGAGAUACGGCCCAGACUCCUACGGGAGGCAGCAGUGGGGAAUAUUGCACAAUGGGCGGAAGCCUGAUGCAGCAACGCCGCGUGCGGGAUGACGGCCUUCGGGUUGUAAACCGCUUUCGCCUGUGACGAAGCGUGAGUGACGGUAAUGGGUAAAGAAGCACCGGCUAACUACGUG